AGAGUUUGAUCAUGGCUCAGAUUGAACGCCGGCGGUAUGCUUAACACAUGCAAGUCGAACGGUAACAGGCAAAGCUUGCUUUGCGCUGACGAGUGGCGGACGGGUGAGUAACGCGUGGGAAUCUGCCUUAUAGUGGGGGAUAGCCCGGAGAAAUCCGGAUUAAUACCGCAUACGCCCUACGGGGGAAAGCUGGGGAUCUUCGGACCUGGCGCUAUUGGAUGAGCCCGCGUUAGAUUAGCUUGUUGGUGGGGUAAUGGCCUACCAAGGCAACGAUCUAUAGCUGGUCUGAGAGGACGAUCAGCCACACUGGGACUGAGACACGGCCCAGACUCCUACGGGAGGCAGCAGUGGGGAAUAUUGCACAAUGGGCGAAAGCCUGAUGCAGCAAUACCGCGUGUGUGAAGAAGGCCUGAGGGUUGUAAAGCACUUUCAAUUGUGAGGAAAAGCUUUUGGUUAAUAACCUG
rnacentral:rRNA from 1 species